rnacentral:rRNA from 1 species
CUCACCAGAUUGAACGCUGGCGGGAUGCUUUACACAUGCAAGUCGAACGGCAGCACGGACUUCGGUCUGGUGGCGAGUGGCGAACGGGUGAUAAUGUAUCGGAACGUGCCUAGUAGCGGGGGAUAACUACGCGAAAGCGUAGCUAAUACCGCAUACGCCCUUCGGGGGAAAGCGGGGACCUUCGGGCUCCCGCACUGUUAGAGCGGCCGAUAUCGGAUUAGCUAGUUGGUGGGGUAACGGCUCACCAAGGCGACGAUCCGUAGCUGGUUUGAGAGGACGACCAGCCACACUGGGACUGAGACACGGCCUCAGACUCCUACGGGAGGCAGCAGUGGGGAAUUUUGGACAAUGGGGGAAACCCCGAUCCAGCCAUCCCGCGUGUGCGAUGAAGGCCUUCGGGUUGUAAAGCACUUUUGGCAGGAAGAAACGGCACGGGAUAAUACCCCCGUGCAACUGACGGUACCUGCAGAAUAAGCACCGGUUAACUACGUGCCAGCAGCCGCGGUAAUACGUAGGGGUGCAAGCGUUAAUCGGAAUUACUGGGCGCGUAAAAGCGUGCGCAGGCGGUUCGGAAAGAAAGAUGUGAAAUCCCAGAGCUUAACUUUGAACUGCAUUUUUAACUACCGAGCUAGAGUGUGUCAGAGGGAUGUGGAAUUCCGCGUGCAGUGAAAUGCGUAGAUAUGCGGAGGAACACCGAUGGCGAAGGCAGCCUCCUGGGAUAACACUGACGCUCAUGCACGAAAGCGUGGGGAGCAAACAGGAUUAGAUACCCUGGUAGUCCACGCCCUAAACGAUGUCAACUAGCUGUUGGGGCCUUCGCCUGGUAGCGCAGCUAACGCGUGAAGUUGACCGCCUUUUGGGAGUACGGUCGCAAGAUUAAAACCUCAAAGGAAUUGACGGGGACCCGCACAAGCGGUGGAUGAUGUGGAUUAAUUCGAUGCAACGCGAAAAACCUUACCUACCCUUGACAUGUCUGGAAUCCCGAAGAGAUUUGGGAGUGCCCGCAAGAGAACCGGAACACAGGUGCUGCAUGGCUGUCGUCAGCUCGUGUCGAGAUGUUGGGUUAAGUCCCGCAACGAGCGCAACCCUUGUCAUUAGUUGCUACGAAAGGGCACUCUAAUGAGACUGCCGGUGACAAACCGGAGGAAGGUGGGAUGACGUCAAGUCCUCAUGGCCCUUAUGGGUAGGGCUUCACACGUCAUACAAUGGUCGGGACAGGUCGCCAACCCGCGAGGGGGGAGUCAAUCCCAGAAACCCGAUCGUAGUCCGGAUCGCAGUCUGCAACUCGACUGCGCAGUCGGAAUCGCUAGUAAUCGCGGAUCAGCAUGUCGCGGUGAAUACGUUCCCGGGUCUUGUACACACCGCCCGUCACACCAUGGGAGUGGGUUUUACCAGAAGUAGUUAGCCUAACCGUAAGGAGGGCGAUUACCACGGUAGGAUUCAUGACUGGGGUGAAGUCGUAACAAGGUAG